rnacentral:misc_RNA from 1 species
UCAGGUCAGAAAGCAGGAACUGA